CAGCAGCCGCGGGAAUACAGAGGGUGCAAGCGUUAAUCGGAAUUACUGGGCGUAAAGCGCGCGUAGGUGGUUUGUUAAGUUGGAUGUGAAAUCCCCGGGCUCAACCUGGGAACUGCAUCCAAAACUGGCAAGCUAGAGUAUGGUAGAGGGUGGUGGAAUUUCCUGUGUAGCGGUGAAAUGCGUAGAUAUAGGAAGGAACACCAGUGGCGAAGGCGACCACCUGGACUGAUACUGACACUGAGGUGCGAAAGCGUGGGGAGCAAACAGGAUUAGAUACCCCAGUAGUCCCUGUCUCUUAACA
rnacentral:rRNA from 1 species